rnacentral:rRNA from 1 species
GACGUAGGGCGCGAGCGUUGUCCGGAUUUAUUGGGCGUAAAGAGCUCGUAGGCGGCUCAUUGCGUCAACCGUGAAAACCAGCAGCUCAACUGUUGGCUUGCGGUUGAUACGGGUGGGCUGGAGUUCGGUAGGGGAGACUGGAAUUCCUGGUGUAGCGGUGAAAUGCGCAGAUAUCAGGAGGAACACCGGUGGCGAAAGCGGCUCACUGGAUCUCUUCUGACGCUGAGGCACGAAAGCUAGGGUAGCGAACGGG